UCAUAUUACCGAAUUAUACUAUUAUAGUAACUAUUACAAAAAUCAUAUAGAAGAUCCAAAACUUAUCAUCAUGUAGCUUUAAAGUCAACCAUAAGCCUCUUUUGUGGUCCCAAUGCAUCUCUAACCACCAGGCAGGUGAUGUACAGGAUAAUGCAACAACAAAAAAAACAUAUUAGACAAAUUCCAAAUCCUAUGACAUCUCCAUUUCCUAAAAAUAAUAGUAUAGCUUCUCCUUUGUUUCAUUUUCAUACUCAAAUUUUCAAAUACCGGUCGAUCCAACCAAGGACUAGUACGGGACCAUAAUACCAUGCGGUUCAAUACCGAUCAGACAAUUUGAGUAUCAGACAAUUUGAGUAUCAGACAAUUUGAGUCAUUAUAUCACCUGUAAUACCAUACCAGACCAACAAGGCAUCAAAAUCAAUGUCAGGCCGAGACUCCUUGGUCAUGGAUGUUUUCUAGACCAAGCAGCAUCAGAAAAACUGAAAGAUAACUAGGUCACAACUAAAUACUGCUCCAGUUCUAAACUAAACGAGGAAAAUAAAAGAAUAAUAAUGAAAUCAAUAGGAAGGUAAAGUAAGAAAUAUGAGGAAUUGCUUACCAGUAGGAAAAGAUGAUGGUGCUGGAUGAUAGGGGGUUGAGGGAGUAAAUCCGAUGGUACCAACACCAUGGCUGGAAGAGUUAAAUCCGAUGGCACCAACACCUCGCAUCCUCUUGCUGGACGUGAAGGCUGACAGGGGAUCGGUGAUAAAGAAAUCACUAUUAGAGAUGGAUGGCUGGCACUCAAGGGCCGGUGGUGGCUGGAUUGGAGAGUUAGAGAUUUGAG
rnacentral:lncRNA from 1 species